rnacentral:rRNA from 1 species
UACGUAGGGGGCAAGCGUUGUCCGGAAUUAUUGGGCGUAAAGAGCGCGUAGGCGGUCCGAUAAGUCGGCUGUGAAAGUCAGGGGCUCAACCCUUGAAAGCCGGCCGAUACUGUCGGACUAGAGUCCGGAAGAGGCAAGUGGAAUUCCCGGUGUAGCGGUGAAAUGCGCAGAUAUCAGGAGGAACACCGAUGGCGAAGGCAGGUCACUGGGCCUUACCUGACGCUGAGGAGCGAAAGCGUGGGGAGCGAACAGG